rnacentral:rRNA from 1 species
UACAGAGGUCCCAAGCGUUGUUCGGAUUUACUGGGCGUAAAGGGUGCGUAGGUGGCGAGGUAAGUUUGAUGUGAAAUCUCCGAGCUCAACUCGGAAAUGGCAUUGAAUACUAUCCCGCUUGAGGGUCGGAGGGGAGACUGGAAUUCUCGGUGUAGCAGUGAAAUGCGUAGAUAUCAAGAGGAACACCUGCGGCGAAGGCGGGUUGCUGGGCCGACACUGACGCUGAAGUGCGAAAGCGUGGGGAGCGAACCGG